rnacentral:rRNA from 1 species
CCUACGGGUGGCUGCAGUGGGGAAUAUUGGACAAUGGGGGCAACCCUGAUCCAGCGACGCAGCGUGAGUGAAGCCGUAUUUCGGUACGUAAAGCUCUCUCAGUAGAAAAGAAAAUGACGGUACCUGACUAUGUAGCCCCGGAUAACUACGUGCCAGCAGCCGCGGUACUACGUAGGUGGCAAGCGUUAUCCGGAUUUACUGGGUGUAAAGGGAGCGUAGACGGCAGCGCAAGUCUGUAGUGAAAUGCCGGGGCCCAACCCCGGAACUGCUCUGGAAACUGUGAAGCUGGAGUGCAGGAGAGGUAAGCGGAAUUCCUGGUGUAGCGGUGAAAUGCGUAGAUAUCAGGAGGAACACCGGCGGCGAAGGCGGCUUACUGGACUGUAACUGACGUUGAGGCUCGAAGGCGUGGGGAGCAAACAGGAUUAGAUACCCUUGUAGUC